GACCAUCUGCUACCGGCCCCAGCCCAGAUGAUACAGUUAGAGCCUACCCACAGCAUCCUCCCCGCCUUCAGACAGUUCCAGGAACAGGGGGAUUCUGAAGGGCCCGCCCUUGGCAUUGGCUGAAACGCGGUGGGAGUAUUGAAAACGCUGGACCUGUAACUCCACAGAGAAGCGCCUCCCCACCUCAACACCAGCACUGUUCUCAAUGUGUGGUGGCCUCUCCCUGCCUGAGAGCUGGUCAUUUUGGCUUCAGGGAGCCGGGCACCAGGAUCUGUGCUGGGCACAGCAAGGGACCACCUGGCCUCGGGAGCUAAGGGCUCUGUCUCCAGGGGUCCCAGUCUGGAGAAGGUGGGUAAAGCAAACAAGGAAGCCUCCUAAUAAGAAGUUCCCUAAUCAGACAUGGACUUUGCUGCCAGGAGCACCCAGUGGGGCCAGCCUGGGGCCCAGGGAGUUUUGGAUCCUAAAAUCAACCAAAAGCAGAAUCUGACCACUUUCCAAAGCAAUGGUCCUUUAGAUUGAGAACAAAAUCGUGGAACAGCGCUUCAUUUUUCCCGUCUCAAGAAGUCACAAGGCCCAGAAUGCAAGAAAAUCAUGGCUUUUCGAUGACCAGGCCUUGUUGGAAUGGCUGAGAAGCUCCUCAGCCCCGACCAGGUGCAGUGACUGCAUUCGGCUCUCACGGAGCAGGUCUGAGUGGAGCCAGGAUUUGCUCUGUUCAAAGAUAAAAACCACUGGAGAGGGAAGCAGCAGAUCACAGGGAGCGAUCUCAAUCCUAUAGGGGCCUGCUCCGGGGUGUUUUGCACGAGGCUCCAUGUUAAAUAAGCCUCCAUUCGAGCGCAGCCUCAGGACGGCCAUCCUUCAUUCCUCUCAGUCACACACCUUCCACUUCAGGAUGGCCAUCCUUCAUUCCUCCCAGUCAUGCACCUUCCACUGCCUGGUUCUCUGAGCGCUUCCGUCUAGCGGGAGAGACGCCUUCGACCAAUAAUUGCACAUAGGUCUGGAUGAUGCCCAGCCACAGUCACUCCUCUAAAAGCAAGGAACUUGCUUCUGCAGAGUCAAACGGAGCUCACGUGAGGUUCCUGGAGGCACUGAGGUUUCUUUCUAGUCUCCUGUUUUGCACAGACCUUUUUCUUACUGAGCAAUUCACUAUCUGCUGGCUUCGGAAGAGGUGGAUUGGGUUUCAGGUGGGGGCACCAAGAAGCAGCCAGAUGUCCAAAUUUGGAGGCAACUCAGGCCACCCAAGUGCCUGCACAGGAAAAUGUAUGCAGCUGCCGUGCCACAUCAAAGGCAGGUGGUCCAGGGUGAUCCGGGUGCUAUUCGUGGCACAGGCACCAAAGUACUGUCAUCCGAAGCAUCCUCUAUCUCGGUUUCCUCAUCUCUAAAAUGGGGCUCCAUCUAAGUUUUCUGGUUCUGCAAAAACUCCUGAGCAAACCACUUCACUAGCCAGGAACCUGGUAUGCCUGCCAUGCCUGGGGCAGGCAGGGCUUUCCAAUUUCCUCCCCAAGGUUUUCUGAGAAUUCAUCUGACAGUGUCUGUAAAUGUCCCUCCAUUCUCUUUCAUAGAGGAAAUGCUCACAUUAGAAGAAAGUCUCUUAUGACCAGCA
ensembl:lncRNA LINC01814 long intergenic non-protein coding RNA 1814